rnacentral:rRNA from 1 species
AGUGAACGCCAGCGGUAGGCCUAACACAUGCAAGUCGAACGGCAGCACAGUAAGAGCUUGCUCUUACGGGUGGCGAGUGGCGGACGGGUGAGGAAUACAUCGGAAUCUACUUUUUCGUGGGGGAUAACGUAGGGAAACUUACGCUAAUACCGCAUACGACCUACGGGUGAAAGCAGGGGAUCUUCGGACCUUGCGCGAUUGAAUGAGCCGAUGUCGGAUUAGCUAGUUGGCGGGGUAAAGGCCCACCAAGGCGACGAUCCGUAGCUGGUCUGAGAGGAUGAUCAGCCACACUGGAACUGAGACACGGUCCAGACUCCUACGGGAGGCAGCAGUGGGGAAUAUUGGACAAUGGGCGCAAGCCUGAUCCAGCCAUACCGCGUGGGUGAAGAAGGCCUUCGGGUUGUAAAGCCCUUUUGUUGGGAAAGAAAAGCAGCAGGUUAAUACCCCGCUGUUCUGACGGUACCCAAAGAAUAAGCACCGGCUAACUUCGUG